AGAAUCAACGCUGGCGGCGUGCCUAACACAUGCAAGUCGAACGAGAAAGUGGAGCAAUCCAUGAGUAAAGUGGCGCACGGGUGAGUAACACGUGACUAACCUACCCUUGAGUGGGGGAUAACCUAGAGAAAUCUGGGCUAAUACCGCAUAAUACCUUCGGGUCAAAGGAGCAAUUCGCUUAAGGAGGGGGUCGCGGCCGAUUAGUUAGUUGGCGGGGUAAUGGCCCACCAAGACUAUGAUCGGUAUCCGGCCUGAGAGGGCGCACGGACACACUGGAACUGAAACACGGUCCAGACUCCUACGGGAGGCAGCAGUGGGAAUUUGCGCAAUGGGGGAAACCCUGACGCAGCAACGCCGCGUGGAGGAUGAAGUCCCUUGGGACGUAAACUCCUUUCGAUCGGGACGAUAAUGACGGUACGAGAGAAGAAGCCCGGCUAACUUCGCGCCAGCAGCCGC
rnacentral:rRNA from 1 species